ensembl:lincRNA
AAACAGAAAUGAGGAUCUAAGUGACUGAGUGCUUGGCCUGGGAGGUGAGCUCAUGAGUUGUGAGCUGAAGUCUGAAUCAAGGCUUGGUCUCAAAAGACAUUUGAGUCACCUCCAUGCUGCUCUGUUCCUGGGAUGCUGGGUCACCUCAGAAAUGAGAAAGAGAAUGCACCAAGACAUGCCAGGCCCCCACCCAGGCUGGGAUGCCAGUCACAGGAGGAGUGAGAAGACGCUGGGUGGAGGGGCCUCCACUCACACCAUCUGUGCUGCCUGGAAAUUCUGAGCUGAACUCUGAUGAGUGCAAUCUGGAACUGAUGGCAAACCCAAAGGUCCUCGGCCCAGGUUGACUGCAAAUGGAGUUUCUUCCAGUUGCUUCCUGGGUGUGUGCAGAUGUGCUGCUGAUGAACGUGCAGAGAGGCCUGGAGAAGUCUGGGUGUGCUCACCCAGCACAGGGCCCUCUGUGGCUGGUCUGCAGGGCCAGGUCCAGUUCUUGCUGACUCGUUUUAUCUGUCUGUUGACUUUCUUCUGUGGAUUUUUGGAUACAGCAGUGCACAAGAGCUUGCAGAAAUGGGCUUCUCCAAAUCAUUCUCAAGAAGCUCAACAUCUUUGUUAAACAGUGAACGUUUAAAGUAAUCUUAUUAGCAGUAAUCAAUAGACAGGUCCCACAAGAAACCACAAAUAUGAUUUUAAAAUUGAUAGUUCUUUCUAAAGACCCUUUAGGGACCUAAGAACUGCGAUUAAACUACCUUAUUUAAUCUUCCAAAUAAUCCUAUGAAUUAGGCAUUCUUGUCACCCAUAUUUUGCUUAUAAACUUGAAAAAAGUUUGGUAACUUGCCAGUCAAUGGUGAAGCUGCGAUCAAACCCUGUUUGCACGUCUGUCAGCCCUGGGGCUUGGUAGAUCUGCUGUAUGUGGACCUACGGACCAGGAAGGGCAUGGGGAGCCCAUGCUAUCCAACUUCUUCAUCUGGACAGAUGGACUUCUGGUGGCGCACACAGCUCGCAGAGGCCAUGCCAAGCUGAGAAACCAGAUUUCCUGCUGCCCGAUACAAUGCUCUACCACAGUGCACUACCAAAGGGAGGCUCUUGGAGACAGUUCUGUCCAUUUUCUAUCUAUUCUUAAUAAAAAAAAGGGAUUUUCUGUGGAAUCUGCAACACUUGAGGGUUUGGGUGCAGGGCACCCGUUGAAGAGGCCUUCCGUUGAAGAGGCCUUCCGCUGCCCGGCCUCUGUGGACCUUGGUGGCUUCCCAGCAGGAGGCUGCAGCUGCAGCGACUGCAGGCUGCCACCAGGUCCCCAAGAGCCUGUGCUUCACAUCUGGCUUCCUGAGCACUGGCAAAGGGAUGACCGUGGACUUUAGAUGGUCCCUCUUUGUGGUGCAACUUCUUUACCAGGAACACGGUGGGUACAAUGCCUGCUGGGUGAUCCAAGAGGACUAGACACAGACUGCACAUAAGCCAAGGGCUGGUGUCCGGGGGUUCCAGAGUUGCUCUCAUCUUUAGUGACCAAAUUGUGAUGCUGUGGGAACAUUCUGUGAAUAGUGAAAACCAAGCAACUUAUCUAACCUGGCCUAUGUCUUCAGUGUCCAUACAAUGACUUGACCUUGCUCCUUAGCCGGGUGGGUGCACAGUAGACACAAGGUGAAUUGUCGGGCUUGCUCCCUUCACCCAAUUCAUCAUGUAAGUAGAAGAAAUAGGUACAUUGAUUUAGCCUUAAGCAGAAUGCAACUGUGCACCCCCUCACAUGCAUACAUAGAAUAUACUCAAAUGCAUAAACAUACACAUAAAUAGUACACCUGUGCCUGUACACCAUGCAUAAAUAUGCACACAUGCACACAUGCACUUUCUUGCACACACACACCAUAUAUGCACCUAGGAACAAAAUACACAUGGCACACAUGAUUAUAUAAUACAUCCACAGAGGAUUAUGUGUGUGCAUACAUUGUGUGCAUACAAUGCAUACAUUAACACAGCAUAUACACACAUAUAUACACAUCACACAAGCACAUACAUGCACAUAUAAACAUUGCCCACAGAUGCAUGUACAAUACAUAUGCAUAUAUAUUCUGAAUACACAUGGAUGUUCAUGUGUAUGCAUAUACACACAUCACACAUGCAGGGGCAUACACACAAAUAUAUAUGCAUAUAUAGACAUGUACACAUACAUGUAUGCAUGAUUCUGGCACACAUAAGCAUAUACAGCAUACAUACACGUGCACACAAACAUUAUAUUAUCUGCACACACACAAACCUCACACGUGCAUGCAUGUAUAGGUGCAAAUGCAUAUUCAUUCAUAAAUAUACAAGCAUAUGUACAUACAUAUACAUGCACAAAUCAUACUUCCACAUAAAUACACACAAGCAUGUAUACAUAUAGACAUAUCACAUAUAUCAAAAUACACACAAGCAUGUAUACAUAUAGACAUAUCACAUAUAUCAAAAUACACCCACCACACAUGGACAUACAUGCAUACAUAUAUACACAUACAUGUCAUAUAUUCUCAUGCACAUACAUAUUUGAGGCGGCAGCUGGAAGUUUGCUGGCAGCUAGAAGUUUGCUGGUAGCAGUUGGGCUCUGAGGGUUUUUUCCCUGAGGAGCUGUUUUGUUUGGCGUUUGUAGUUCUAAAAAUAAAGUUAGUUUCUUUUGACAAGUGGCUCCUGAAUUGUGCCUGGCCAGACUUCGGCAUAUUUGCAUCAUGCAUACACAUGAAGAUGAAAAUCAUACAUGCAAUUGCAUAAAUACUACACACACAUAGAUACUUGUGAUUGCACAAACACACCCGCAUCAUACAUACACAAGCAGGCACAAAAGCACACAUAUACUCAUAUAUCCUAUGUGCACACAUAUAUGGACCUCAUACACAUAUCAAACACACUUAUAUACACACACCAUGCAUGCAUAUAUGUACAUACCCAUAAACACAUACAUAGAUACACACCCAUUCAUAAACACAUGCAUACAUAACAUACAUACCCAAGCAUUCACUUAUAUUAUGCAUUCACAUGCGUAUACACAAACACACCUACAUAGAUACACACAUGCAUUCACACAUACAUAAAUUCAUACCUAGAUGUAUACACAGGCAUACACAUGCACGCACGCACACACACACACACACACCACACUGCUUCCAAACAACCACCACUAUUUGCAUCUACCAAACAGAAGAAGAAAACAGAGGUACUGUUGGUUGUGUGCUUUCCCGUGAUGCCCUGCCGAAGACCAUUUGCAUUCUCUCCUGGAGGUGGACUUGUGAGAAGAUGAAGCACUUCCUCCCGCUGGAAUUCCAGAAAGUGUAGAGGCUUGUGUUCUGGAGAUGGUGCUUCACCCAAGGCGGUAUUUGCCACUUGGAUCAUUGACUGUGUCCUUCCCCUAAAGGUGGAGCCACUGCACACAAGAGCCAAAGUAGCUUCUCUUUAUUAAAAAAAAAAAGUAAUUCUUUUUCGGGAAAUAGAUGAACAUAUAGGGGAAGUCUGACCUUAAUUCCCCUCAAUUAAAGUGUGCGUGUUUUCCAGUUGGCCUGGACUGCCUUCCUGCUAAGAGCCUUGGAUUCCCACGGGAAGCUGGGACGCCCUCUCGGCCCUACGGAGGCAUGGGGGAGCAGUCGGGGGACAUGCUGAGGAGCUGGAGGGGAGUGGGGAGCAGAAUCAACGUGAUUUCUAACUUACAGACUUGAAAGGGACCUCAUAAAGAGAAAUGGCACCUGCUCCGGUGCCACCGUGAUGUGUGGCCGAGGGAACCCCAGCGGGAGGAAAUGUAAAAGCUGGGCCUGCAGAGAAUGGCCCAGUGUAGGCCCGGACAUCAGAAAUGGCAGAGCUACCAGUCCCCUCUCUGAGGGCUUGAAAAUUAGAAGCAAGUCUGAUGUCAGUGUAAUCGAAGCAACACACCCUCUUGUUUCAUGAAAUCUGAAUACAAACAGUUUGCUGAAAGGUCUUCUAUGAAAUGAUUCAACUUUCUCACCUUCCUAUGAGUCCAUUUGGACUUGUAAAGUCAUGGUCCAGUGAAAGGUGAUAGACAAAACAACGGUUAUAUAUGGUUUAAGUCUUAUUGAAAAUCACCCUGGGUUAUUAAAAUCACUCUGAUGUGGUGGUGGAGAAGAGAUAAUGCUUUCAGGUAGGUAAUGGUAUUUUUUUGAGAUAAAUGUAGAAAUGCACAGGAAUUGGGUGAACUAGAGGCUAACACUAGUUGUCCAUAGAGAGAGGCAAUUGGGCAUGCCAUCAGGUGGGAAACUGUGAUGGGGACCUGGUGGGCAUUGAUGUUGCUAAGAACAGAGCUUCUGAUAGACUGAAAUGGAAACGGAGAGCACAGAAUUAGUCAGGAACUGUAUCAUGAACCCCUUGGUACCAUGCACAUCAAUAAAAGCUCUGUGGAAAUCAGUAAGGGAAACUAAGACUUGACCAUGUGCUGAAAAACUGCGUUGUUCAGAAGGACAUGGGGUAAACCAAUGAACCCCGUGAAAGAUGAACAGUGAAGAACCAUGUGUUCCAGGAAUCCAGACUCGAGGACUCACAAGAGGUAAACGCAGAAGGCAUUUUCCAUUCUUGGCUCAGUAUUCAGCGGUCUGGCUGAAAGUAUGGUCACAUACGAUCAGCUAGUUUAGUUCUCAUUCCAUUUCUGAACCAUGAACUCAAGCAUAUGAGAAACCUUGGUCCUGCUGCACAGAAGAGCAGUACCAGUCUAAGUAGAAGUCUCCCCGGGAACAUCCCCUGGUUGGCACAUUGAGGUUCUGUAGGAAAACACUGAACAGGUUGUGCUCAUGUGUCUGUCUUUAAAAUGGGUGAGACCCAUUCCUUUGAUUUGGGAUGGAAUUGGCUGGGCACCCUCACCGUUCCAACUAUCACAUGACUGCCCAUCACAGGCUGACCAGGCAGCGACUGGAAGGUAUGAGAACUAUCAUGGGCAGGCGUUUAGACAAUCUUCCACUCUUGUUUAACCUUAUCAAGUUUAGGCGUGUCAAUGUUGACAUAUCUGUCUAUGGAUUUACAGAUGAUAUGGUCCAAUUUUGUCUGAAUAUUCCCACCGACAGCACAAUUGUUUUAGAGGAUCACUCAGAGAAAUAAUAGAUUUAGAAAGGUAGUAACAGCACUAGCACAAUGACCAGGAAGAAAAUGGUAGCAACAAGACUUCACUCCUACAGAGAGCUCUUCAGACAUAGUGUGACAAAGGCCACCAGGUACUGUGCCAAAGCCAACAUCUCUGCCCCUCCACAUUUUAAUGAGGAGUGCUGAAGUAAUGAUGGCUUUGUUUAAAAAAAAAAUCAUUGCUUUUUGCUAAGAAUAUUAUAAAAACAGGUGUUCAGAAAUAUUUUUAUCACUACGUGAUUUUAUUGCCAAAACCAAUAUAAUUCACCUGUUCAAACAAAACAAACAAUUCAUUUUUACAAAUCUUGAAAAUAUUAUUUCUACUUUUUACAAAAAUUGAAAUAGAAUCUUAGUAGGGUUAUAAUCCAUCUGUUACUAAUACAAAAAUACAAUACUUUCCAAUUAGUUUGGAAAGCAAGAUUGACAUUAUAAGAGAUGAAAAAUCUUAGGAAAAAAAUUUUAAAGCAAUUUUUUUACAUAAUUGGCAUAUGGGAUUUAACACUGAUUAUCUUAAUUUAAUAACACAAAGUGAAUUCUUGUUGCAUAUUACUUUGAGAUGUCUUUUUCAGCCAAUACAAAAGCAGAAAAAUAAACUGAUGAUAGUUGUAUGCAGUGAAAGUAUUGUCACAACAAACCAUUGCACCAAGGAUUCCUACCUGAUAAGCACCUUGCAUCGUGGUGCUCACAGCAAAAUAUUUACUACCAAGUGAUAAUUGUCUCACUUUUAUCUCAUCUUUUAAAUUCCAUUUAGUGUAUUUUUCAAUAUAUAUAUGGAUAUUAA